UACAGAGGUCCCAAGCGUUGUUCGGAUUCAUUGGGCGUAAAGGGUGCGUAGGCGGCGUGGUAAGUCAGGUGUGAAAUCUCGGGGCUCAACCCCGAAACUGCACUUGAUACUGCCUUGCUCGAGUACUGGAGAGGAGAUUGGAAUUUACGGUGUAGCAGUGAAAUGCGUAGAUAUCGUAAGGAAGACCAGUGGCGAAGGCGAAUCUCUGGACAGUUACUGACACUGAGGCACGAAGGCCAGGGGAGCAAACGGG
rnacentral:rRNA from 1 species